UUAUGUAUUAUAUUUAGCCUUAGAGGAAGGUUCCCCUUAGUAUUCAAACAGUUUUAUUACCAUUUUACUUAUUAGGCUUAUCUACUUUCAUUCACAUUAAUCAUAGAAUCUCUUUUGAUUUCUUUUCCUGAAGCUAAUAAGAUAUUUCACUUCGCUUCGUUUAUUACUUAAUUUCUCUAAGAGUUUAUAUGUAUAUGUUAAAGGUACAUAACUCAUUACUCUUUAAUACAUAGCAUCAUAAUCCAUAAUAGUCUCUUUAUAUACUUCCAUAUAUUUAUAAACUAAGGUAUAUAAAUAUAUAAAAAUUUAUUUAUAUCAUACACUACUAUAAAAUCAAAUCCUAUUUAAUUUAUUUUUUUUGUCUUAUUAGAAAGUGUAAAGCAGUCACUUCUUUUUUUUUUUUUUUUAAAUUUAAAAAACUAAAUAAUAAAAUUUACUUUUAUUAUAUUUUGUCAUUAUACCUUUUCUAUCUUAUUUAAGAUUAUGUUAUGAUUUUUAGGUAACAUAUAUUAAGGAUAGAUUUUUAUUUUUAUAUAAAUAUGUUUAAUAUCUACAAUAACUAUAUGUUACUUGAUGCACCUAGUCCUUGGGGUAUUUAUUUUCAAGAUAGCGCUACACCUAUGAUGGAAGGUAUAGUUGAAUUACAUGACAAUAUUAUGUAUUAUUUAGUUAUAAUCAUAUUUAGUGUAGGAUGAAUAUUGUUAACUAUAGUUAGAAACUAUAUAAAUACUAAAUCGCCUAUUUCUCAUAAAUAUUUAAACCACGGUACUUUAAUCGAAUUAAUAUGAACAAUUACACCUGCUAUUAUUUUAAUAUUAAUAGCUUUCCCUUCUUUUAAAUUAUUAUAUUUAUUAGAUGAGUGUCCUGACCCUGCUAUGUCUGUUUUAGCUGAAGGACAUCAAUGAUACUGAAGCUACCAAUAUCCUGACUUUUUAAGUAGUUCUGAUAAUGAAGUAUUAGAAUUUGAUUCUUAUAUAAUA
rnacentral:sRNA from 1 species